CAGUCGCCGCGGGAAUACGUAGGGUGCAAGCGUUAAUCGGAAUUACUGGGCGUAAAGCGUGCGCAGGCGGUUCGGAAAGAAAGAUGUGAAAUCCCAGGGCUUAACCUUGGAACUGCAUUUUUAACUCCCGGACUAGAGUAUGUCAGAGGGGGGUGGAAUUCCACGUGUAGCAGUGAAAUGCGUAGAUAUGUGGAGGAACACCGAUGGCGAAGGCAGCCCCCUGGGAUAAUACUGACGCUCAUGCACGAAAGCGUGGGGAGCAAACAGGAUUAGAUACCCGCGUAGUCCCUGUCUCUUAUAC
rnacentral:rRNA from 1 species